rnacentral:lncRNA from 1 species
CCCGGGGCGCGCGCGCCAUCUCGCACAGUGAAAUUGAUCUGUGCAUAAGCCCCCAGAAUCCUCAGCAGAGUCUCUAUGCUGACAGCCUCCGUGGCGACCUCCGCGUGGAGGUGUUUGUUGAGGAGACUUAUUUCUGGAGAACACCUUCCUUUAUUUGCUUCUCAAGAUGGAGGGAAGUGAGUUAUCAAGGGUUUGGAGGAAAUGUGAAAAAUUGUCUGAAAUGAAGCAAUUUGGCUCCCUCUGGGGAAGAGAUUUUCCUUCGGGAGUAUCCAUUGAAAAGUCAUCAAUAUUAAUGUGCAUUUUUGUAGAGCUCCAGAGCGUUCGGAGUGCUUUUCAACUUUUGUUUUCCCAACCUUGUCGGCGCUCUCUCGCAGGGUGUGAUUUGGAAGCAAAAGUUCUCAUUUGUCUUGCAGAGUCCUCUCAGAAGCCUCAUGAAUUUCCCCAGGACAGAGACUUAAAUGACGAGAGGUUGGUUGAGUACAAGUCUCAGACCCUCUCACUCACUGCAAUAUGGUCCAGGAGGCGGCAGGUCUUUCCUUUGGCUGCCUCGCAUUGAAGCCCUGCCGGACCUGAUACCCACUGCCUCUGCAGCCUGGCCUUUCAAUGCUAGGUCCUUCUCAGUGCCAGUCUGAAAGCAAAACACAGUCGUGCCCAAACACGAUAUGCUUGUUUGUUGAGAAACGUGUACUCAGAGGACGAUUAUCUUCCCUGAGUAACAGCUGAAUGUGAGUAGACAGAAGCCCUCAAACCAUCGAGAUAGUUCCCCCGUGAGAUAUCAUCGGUGUGCUCUUCAUUUUCCAAACAUGGAAAUUGCUUCAACGUUUCUGAUUGUGAAAGUAAUACAGAUUUAUUGUGGUAAGUUCAGAAAGAAAAAUAAGGCAGCAUGAAAUUAAAAUCAUGAAUAUCCAUCAGCCAGAGAAUUCACAAUUUUCACUUUGAAAUAUAAUUUCUGAGGUAUUUUACUAAGCAAACAUUUACACACACAUUGUACACACACAACUCCAUUUGCUGUGAUUUAAAAAAAAUUCAUGUAUUACUCAAGUUGGAUAAGUUUUACUGCAGCAAUAAAUUAACUGUAGAUUCUCA